AACAGUCCAACCCGGUGCCGCCACGUGGCGAGCUCAAUGGCGCCCAUUUUAGGGGAUUUUAAAGGCGCGGGGAAGACUAUAAACCCGGAGUUCGUGUUCUGAAAACGUUGUUCGAUUCGCCUUCUUCGAGUUCGCCAUUCGCCGUGAUCGACCAAGGAUUGACUUGCAGCAGCAUCCAUGGAAGCCCCACAAAGCCAGCAGGAAAAGCUUUCGCCUCCACCUCGUACUUCAUGCCGUAAAAAUAAGAAGGAUGAUGCCGCUGUCUUGGAGGAUUUGAAGGAUCACAUUGAUGAGUUUAUCAAUGCAUCCAUGGAAGAGCAUAAAACUUGUUUCAAGAAGACCAUGCAAAAGAUGUUUGGAAUGUCAAAGGUUGUAGCGGAAAGGAGUUCUGCCGCCCAGGAAGUUGAAAGUUCUCUGCCGCUUCGGACAACUGUGGCAGAGUAAAUCAUCUAUCUGUGGUGCUAGCUCCACUGUAUAGAUGGAUGGGUGACUUAUUCUCUUUUUUAUGUUUUGGUUUGACGGUCGAAGUUUGAGUGAACUUUGUUAGCUCUGGUUCAGGAGUCA